GGUGGGUGCAGGGAGCAGACCACCUUUGAGCCUGCCUUCGUCCAGGGAGAGGCCUCUGCCUUCAUGAUCCUCAAAAAAGGUCAGGCCCUACCAGCCUGAGGACCGAAGACCCAGGGCUGAAUUUCCAUGUCAAUGGGCAGCCUGGCCUGGAGAUGCAGCAGCAAGAGCCCUGUCCCCCAGUGUAGGGAGGGACAGCCGGGGCCUGGAGGACAUGGAGCCCUUCUUGCAGUGCGUGGGCGAGAGCAGGAUUCCAGAACCCUCCUGGGGGAUCCCAGAGGACCCAACCACACAGCCCCCAUUGGCUGUAUUGUCAGGGCCUGUGGCCGCCUCCACCCUGUACUUCCUGUCUCCCCGGCCUCGAGUUCCUGGGCUGACCAAUCAUGAUUAACAAGUGCAAGGCCCUGAGUUCAAUCCCCAGUACCAAAAAAGAAAAGAAAAGAAAAAGAAAGGAAAGAAACAGGAACUGGAACGUAGCUCAGUGAGAAGGCCUGGGUUCAAUCCCCAGUACUGCAGGGGAACAAAAAAGAUUGGCCAAGGGUGCAGACUAGGCAGGCAGAUCCUCGGAAGGUGGGGACAGUAGAGAUCACAAGUCAGAGGGCAUGGGGGCUGGAUAGGGUGCAGUGGAAGAGGCCAG
rnacentral:lncRNA from 1 species